rnacentral:rRNA from 1 species
GACGAACCGUGCGAACGUUAUUCGGAAUCACUGGGCUUAAAGCGCGUGUAGGCGGAUUGGAACGUCGGCGCCUGAAAUCCCCCGGCUCAACCGGGGAACGUGGCCCGAAACGACCAGUCUGGAGGGACGUAGGGGGGACUGGAACUUCCGGUGGAGCGGUGAAAUGCGUUGAGAUCGGAAGGAACGCCCGUGGCGAAAGCGAGUCCCUGGACGUCUACUGACGCUGAGACGCGAAAGCUAGGGGAGCGAACGGG